AUGUAAAUACGCUCAGCGAAUUUUGCGUCAGAAGCCCGUCUGAAUUAUUCUGGAAAAUGGCUGGUAUUCAAAGACUGGUGACUGUUGAGCGACUGAGAUCGAAAGCUAAUGUCCGUGGUUUGAUAUGUACUUGGAAUCCAGAGCAUCAAUUGUACUCAUCUUUAAUCCAUAUUUCUCCUACACGUUCGAUGAUCGACCGGAGUAUAAUGAUCAGAUGGCAUACUCCAGGAUGACGGGCAAGGUUGGUACCACGUGUGAGUCCUGUAAAACAGCCGCCUUCUAGCACGGCAGGAAGGAAACCCUUCGAUCUGCCAUGAAGGAAACCUUCAGGUGCUCCUAGGCAUUCCAGAUGGAUUCCUCAGCGGGCCUGGAGGAGAAGAGGAGACUACUACAGGAGUGUUCGGAGAACAUAACGUCCUCACCAAGGAAGCUGCAAUGGGACAAGGAUGGGAUAGACACUCCUUCGCUCUGCAAACGCUCGCUGCAAAAGAAGGCAAGACCCUGGCCAUCUUUGCUGAUCCAGCCAACAGCUUCAUCAACCAUGUCAUCCUCUCCACCAGCACUCUAAGUGCACCCGGCUAUCCUGAUUAGGGAGUUUAGACCCAUCGUUCCCAACAGUCUCUGGGACCGGUUACAACGCUUCCGACGGUUCCGUUGGAUGCCACGUCACAUCAUAUCUCGAUUCUUUGAACGGGAGCAACUUUGUGUCGUGCGUGGGCUGACUGUUGGAAAGACAUUCAUGAUGUCUUGAGUAAUACAAAUAAGCAAUAAAGAUAGUUGUACAUACACGUAGCAGUGCUUCCCAGAAUAAACAAAAUUACUACCGUAUUUUCCGGUGUAUAAACCGCGCCUUUUUUCCCGCUUUAUAUUCUUGAAAUACUGGGUGCAGUUUAUACACAGAAACAACAAAAUUCCGUUGGAAUAUUGACUGUUUAGUCGGUAUUACAACUUGCUAGUGAACCAACAAUUAUAUAGAAUAUUUAAUGUAUAAUUAUUUGUUGGUUACUAAAAAUAGGGAGCAUAUUUUGCGAAGUUUUCUUUGAAAAAUCUUCUUUGUAAAGAUUGGUUUUUAUUAUUUAUCUAACUACUAUCAUUUUAA